rnacentral:rRNA from 1 species
UUUCUCCUACGGGAGGCAGCAGUAGGGAAUCUUCCACAAUGGGCGAAAGCCUGAUGGAGCAACGCCGCGUGUGUGAUGAAGGGUUUCGGCUCGUAAAACACUGUUGUAAGAGAAGAAUGACAUUGAGAGUAACUGUUCAAUGUGUGACGGUAUCUUACCAGAAAGGAACGGCUAAAUACGUGCCAGCAGCCGCGGUAAUACGUAUGUUCCAAGCGUUAUCCGGAUUUAUUGGGCGUAAAGCGAGCGCAGACGGUUAUUUAAGUUCUGAAGUGAAAGCGCCUCAGCUCAACUGAGGAAUUGCUUUGGAAACUGGAUGACUUGAGUGCAGAGAG